rnacentral:rRNA from 1 species
UGGGGAAUUUUGUGCAAUGCCCGAAAGGGUGACGCAGCGACGCCGCGUGAAUGAAGAAGGUCUUCGGAUCGUAAAGUUCUUUCGACAGGGAAGAAAUUUAUUGCGAGUAACUGCGCAGUAAUUGACGGUACCUGUAUAAGCAGUCCCGGCUAACUCCGUGCCAGCAGCCGCGGUAAUACGGAGGGGACAAGCGUUGUUCGGAGUGACUGGGCGUAAAGAGCACGUAGGCGGUAUCCUAAGUCAGAUGUGAAAGACCAGGGCUCAACCCUGGGGUUGCAUACGAUACUGGGGAACUAGAGUGCAGGAGAGGAAAGUGGAAUUCCUAGUGUAGCGGUGAAAUGCGUAGAUAUUAGGAGGAACACCAGUGGCGAAGGCGGCUUUCUGGACUGUAACUGACGCUGAGGUGCGAAAGCCAGGGUAGCAAACG